rnacentral:rRNA from 1 species
CACGUAGGCGGAUUGUUAAGUCGGGGGUGAAAUCCUGGAGCUCAACUCCAGAACUGCCUUCGAUACUGACGAUCUCGAGUUCGGGAGAGGUGAGUGGAACUGCGAGUGUAGAGGUGAAAUUCGUAGAUAUUCGCAAGAACACCAGUGGCGAAGGCGGCUCACUGGCCCGAUACUGACGCUGAGGUGCGAAAGCGUGGGGAGCAAACA